rnacentral:misc_RNA from 1 species
UUCCUGUUUAAAGGGGAGUAGCUGUACAAUUUUAGUCGUCAUUACGAGAACAUUCUCCGGCUGAAUUGGCAACGAUCGUUGUUAGCGAGACCUUUACCAAUAUA